UACGUAGGGGGCUAGCGUUGUCCGGAAUCAUUGGGCGUAAAGAGCGUGUAGGCGGCUCGGUAAGUCCGCUGUGAAAGUCCAGGGCUCAACCCUGGAAUGCCAGUGGAAACUGUCGAGCUAGAGUCCGGAAGAGGCGAGUGGAAUUCCUGGUGUAGCGGUGGAAUGCGCAGAUGUCAGGAGGAACACCGAUGGCGAAGGCAGAUCUCUGGGCCGUAACUGACGCUGAGGAGCGAAAGCAUGGGGAGCGAACAGG
rnacentral:rRNA from 1 species